GUUUCUGUUAAACUCUGUCAGGCCUCAGUUUAGUUUCAGUUAUGUCAGGAGGAGAGUAAGGGCAUAAGAGGCAGGGACCUGUGGAGCUGGAAAUAUCUCUUAGUGGACUCCUCUGAAGCAAAAUGUCUUGUACAGCUCGGGCAGACGUAGGAGUGUUUCUGCAGAAAGAUCUUUAUCAAGGGCUCCAAAAAGAAGAGGGG